GUGGGGAAUAUUGGACAAUGGGCGAAAGCCUGAUCCAGCCAUGCCGCGUGUGUGAAGAAGGUCUUCGGAUUGUAAAGCACUUUAAGUUGGGAGGAAGGGCAGUAAGCGAAUACCUUGCUGUUUUGACGUUACCAACAGAAUAAGCACCGGCUAACUCUGUGCCAGCAGCCGCGGUAAUACAGAGGGUGCGAGCGUUAAUCGGAAUUACUGGGCGUAAAGCGCGCGUAGGUGGUUCGUUAAGUUGGAUGUGAAAGCCCCGGGCUCAACCUGGGAACUGCAUCCAAAACUGGCGAGCUAGAGUAGGGCAGAGGGUGGUGGAAUUUCCUGUGUAGCGGUGAAAUGCGUAGAUAUAGGAAGGAACACCAGUGGCGAAGGCGACCACCUGGGCUCAUACUGACACUGAGGUGCGAAAGCGUGGGGAGCAA
rnacentral:rRNA from 1 species